rnacentral:rRNA from 1 species
AGGUGUAGCGGUGAAAUGCGUAGAUAUCUGGAAGAACACCGGUGGCGAAAGCGGCUUCCUGGACGGUGACUGACGCUGAGACGCGAAAGCGUGGGGAGCAAACAGGAUUAGAUACCCUGGUAGUCCACGCCAUAAACGAUGAACACUAGUCGUCGUGAUGCUUGUCAUUGCGGUGAUGCACUUAACAGAUUAAGUGUUCCGCCUGGGGAGUACGGUCGCAAGAUUAAAACUCAAAGGAAUAGACGGGGACCCGCACAAGUGGUGGAGCAUGUGGUUUAAUUCGAAGAUACGCGAAAAACCUUACCUGGUCUUGACAUUGAUAGAAUCUGCUAGAGAUAGCGGAGUGCCCUUCGGGGAGCUUGAAAACAGGUGCUGCACGGCUGUCGUCAGCUCGUGUCGUGAGAUGUUGGGUUAAGUCCCGCAACGAGCGCAACCCUCGUCCUUAGUUGCCAGCAGGUUAAGCUGGGCACUCUAGGGAGACUGCCUUCGUAAGGAGGAGGAAGGUGAGGACGACGUCAAGUCAUCAUGGCCCUUACGGCCAGGGCUACACACGUGCUACAAUGGGGCGUACAGAGUGUUGCAAUACCGCGAGGUGGAGCCAAUCACUUAAAGCGUCUCUCAGUUCGGAUUGUUCUCUGCAACUCGAGAGCAUGAAGUCGGAAUCGCUAGUAAUCGCGGAUCAGCAUGUCGCGGUGAAUACGUUCCCGGGUCUUGUACACACCGCCCGUCACACCAUGGGAGUGGAAUCUGGCAGAAGUAGGUAGCCUAACCGCAAGGAGGGCGCUACCACGC